rnacentral:rRNA from 1 species
GGGGUGCAGCAGGCGCGAAACCUCUGCAAUAGGCGAAAGCCUGACAGGGUUACUCUGAGUGAUUUCCGUUAAGGAGAUCUUUUGGCACCUCUAAAAAUGGUGCAGAAUAAGGGGUGGGCAAGUCUGGUGUCAGCCGCCGCGGUAAUACCAGCACCCCGAGUGGUCGGGACGUUUAUUGGGCCUAAAGCAUCCGUAGCCGGUUCUACAAGUCUUCCGUUAAAUCCACCUGCUUAACAGAUGGGCUGCGGAAGAUACUAUAGGGCUAGGAGGCGGGAGAGGCAAGCGGUACUCGAUGGGUAGGGGUAAAAUCCGUUGAUCCAUUGAAGACCACCAGUGGCGAAGGCGGCUUGCCAGAACGCGCUCGACGGUGAGGGAUGAAAGCUGGGGGAGCAAACCGGAUUAGAUACCCGGGUAGUCCCAGCUGUAAACGAUGCAGACUCGGUGAUGAGUUGGCUUUAUGCCAACUCAGUGCCGCAGGGAAGCCGUUAAGUUUGCCGCCUGGGGAGUACGGUCGCAAGACUGAAACUUAAAGGAAUUGGC